rnacentral:rRNA from 1 species
UGGGGGAUAUUGCACAAUGGGCGAAAGCCUGAUGCAGCAACGCCGCGUGAGGGAAGACGGUUUUCGGAUUGUAAACCUCUGUCUUCGGUGAAGAAACAAAUGACGGUAGCCGAGGAGGAAGCCACGGCUAACUACGUGCCAGCAGCCGCGGUAAUACGUAGGUGGCAAGCGUUGUCCGGAAUUACUGGGUGUAAAGGGAGCGCAGGCGGGGAGACAAGUCAGCUGUGAAAACUAUGGGCUUAACCCAUAAACUGCAGUUGAAACUGUUUUUCUUGAGUGGAGUAGAGGUAGGCGGAAUUCCGAGUGUAGCGGUGAAAUGCGUAGAUAUUCGGAGGAACACCAGUGGCGAAGGCGGCCUACUGGGCUCUAACUGACGCUGAGGCUCGAAAGUGUGGGGAGCAAACAGG